GCCAAAUAUAUUGAUUUUGAAAGAAGAACGAUAGGAACCCCAACUCCAAAGUAGGGAAGAAAUUCAAUUAGUUGGUACAAGCUACCUUCGUCAGCUGCGGUAUAGUGCCGAGCUACGUUAAAUUUGUUAGUUUUGUAGCCAAACACACUCAGAAGGAAGUGUAAUAAAGGUAACUUUAAUCCAUUUUAGGUACCAAUUUUUCCUGUUUGAUCGUUAAAUUUGUAUUUCCUCUAUUUCAAAAUUUUUGGCUGUCGAGUUCAAAUCAUGGCUCCGUUAUUGCCUUAGACGUUUGAACACCAAGUCUAGACGUGAUUUCAGUGUAAUUUUUAGUAUAAUUGAUAGUCAUGACUUUUACGUUUCCAAGGGUUGUUCUUCACUUGUUGUACUCAAGCACAUUCUGCCAGAUUUUCUGAAAAUUUACUCUGUUUUCAUUUGCUUUUGACAGUGCAUGCUGCAUAUAAAUUUUAAUCUACAAUAGUUUGUAUGUUAUGCUACUGCUUGAUAGUGGUGAAUCACGAUGUAUUCAGCAGUAAUAUUUAUGUUUUGUUUAAUUAAAAUUCUUGAACUUUUUUGGAAGUUCUGGAUAUGGUGCAUAAUAAUGUGGACUUGAAAGCUUGUAUUGUUGAUUUUGGUUUUGAUUCUAGUAAGAAGCCUGACGAUGCAUUUGGGCUCCCUCAGCAACCGAGCACUACUAGUGUGAUUCACUCAAUGGUGUCAGCUAAAUAUUAUGCUAUAAUAUGAAAGUGGACGACUUGGAAUAUCCGUGGAGGAGUUGUUGUUGUAGUGUUCAUCGGAUGACGUGGAAGUUAACUUUGAAGAAAUGGUUGACGAAUUCCAACAAAUGGAUGAGGCUGAAUUCUGGAAGCUAAGAGCGGCAAGUGCACGAAAAAGAAGAGCUGUGAAGACGACAAAAUCUGCAUCCGUUCUGUGUAAAGACAUUGAUACUAAUCUGUAGUGCAGUGCAAUGUAAAACUUUUAAUUUUGGUUGUAACUAUUGGUUAAAAUACAUCGGUUUUUAUUUUUGUGAUGUAAAGGAAAGACAAUGUAUGUGCUUGUGUUGGUUUAAACUUUCAAUGGACG
rnacentral:lncRNA from 1 species